rnacentral:rRNA from 1 species
AUUGAACGCUGGCGGCAUGCUUUACACAUGCAAGUCGAACGGUAACAGGCCGCAAGGUGCUGACGAGUGGCGAACGGGUGAGUAAUGCAUCGGAACGUGCCCAGUCGUGGGGGAUAACUACUCGAAAGAGUAGCUAAUACCGCAUACGAUCUAUGGAUGAAAGCGGGGGACCGUAAGGCCUCGCGCGAUUGGAGCGGCCGAUGUCAGAUUAGGUAGUUGGUGGGGUAAAGGCUCACCAAGCCAACGAUCUGUAGCUGGUCUGAGAGGACGACCAACCACACUGGGACUGAGACACGGCCCAGACUCCUACGGGAGGCAGCAGUGGGGAAUUUUGGACAAUGGGCGCAAGCCUGAUCCAGCAAUGCCGCGUGCAGGAAGAAGGCCUUCGGGUUGUAAACUGCUUUUGUACGGAACGAAACGGCUCUGGUUAAUACCCGGGGCUAAUGACGGUACCGUAAGAAUAAGCACCGGCUAACUACGUG